GUCCACAAGUCUCAGCUAGGGCAACGUCAAAGGCUCUCUGAAACAACCCCCCCAAACACCACCAACGAAAACGGGAUUCGAAGGGAAAACAAACAAACAAACAAACACAAAUUCGGUUGGGGCAGUCCCGGCAGGGGAGGGCUCCUGAUAUACCUAACAGGCCAACAAAAAACCUCCAAUAGAGAAAGGCUAAGAGAGCUCGACACCACAAGACGUCUUGCAACCACCUUAAAACAACUGACCUCCACCACCUGUCCCUUCCUGGGCUGGUCCAGGGGAGAAGUAGCCUUAUAAAGAAAAGGGAUCCCGCACAAGCCUGAUCACCACUGCAGGGGCCCGGGAUAGUCCGGCGAAACGACCAAAGCGUUAGCGUUGCCACGACACACAGCUCCUAGACCCUCCAGAAAACCGCAGGGGGAGGAUUGUAGCCCGCGUGGCGCCUCCCCCUUACCGCCACUAACCUGAACGGUUGGUCCUCCAGAAACCUAUUCACCCUGUCUCGUACUGCACCGCUCUCACCUUCGUCCCUCACCAAGCAACCCAGUCCCACAGAGAAGACGUGUCUAGAUAGAAUGGCCCUCCUCGGGCCACACCUCCCCCUCAUCCGAGCCCCGCUACCACCACCAGACCUCAACCUCCCAAACACCAGAAAACCUACGUCCUUUUGGCGCUCUCACCGCCAUCUCCCCCCUCCCCUGUCCGAGCGACCCCACCUCCCCCCGGCUCUCCAGCCCCCUACAACCUCGGAGCGGCACUAGGGAAGAAAAAGGGUUCUUCCCUGCACGACGUGACCGCCUCCAUUCCCCGUCCUACUCCUCUCCCUCUCCCGCCUCGGGGUUCCCUCUCACCUAUUCCCUCGUCCUCCAACCCCCAUCCCCUUCGAACUCCUAUACCCCCCCCAGCCCUGCCCUACAAACUCAGCUCAAAGCGCUCUUAGGCAAUAAUCUCCACCGCUUCGGCGCACCGCAGUGCGCCUUCUGAAACCGACAGGAUCGGGUGGUCGGGUCCCACCCUGUCCCAGCCUCUCCGCGGGGUGCCCAGCGCCGUGAAGGAGCGC
rnacentral:lncRNA from 1 species